UACAGAGGUCCCAAGCGUUGUUCGGAUUCACUGGGCGUAAAGGGUGCGUAGGUGGCGCCGUAAGUCAGGUGUGAAAUUUCGGAGCUUAACUCCGAAACUGCAUUUGAUACUGCGGUGCUUGAGGACUGGAGAGGAGACUGGAAUUUACGGUGUAGCAGUGAAAUGCGUAGAGAUCGUAAGGAAGACCAGUGGCGAAGGCGGGUCUCUGGACAGUUCCUGACACUGAGGCACGAAGGCCAGGGGAGCAAACGGG
rnacentral:rRNA from 1 species